GAACUAGAGGAGUAAGGUCGAGGUCAUCCUAAGCUACAUUAGGAGUUUCAGGGUAACCUGAGCUACAAAAGUCACUAUCUUAAACAGCAAAAAUAAACAGCUAAGCAGAGUUUGAAGGAAGCUGCCCUUAUCCCCUUUGCUGUCACUGUGUGAAUGCUAAAGCUUCCUCAGUGGGAGAGAACACACCACACACAGAUUCAGCCAGCACCCUGUGUUGGAACUGUUAAUCCCACAGAUGUGAGGAGAAAAACCAUUGACCUACAUCAUCGUGGCCAAAUUAAUUAAAUCAAGCAAUUAAUUAAAGAAAGCUUUUUUAUUCAUGUGCACAGGCUGCCUCCCCCUGUUCAAGAGGGUUCAAGAGAUCAGCAUUGGACAUUGGGAAGAUAAGGACUUUUAUACCUCAAGGUGGCCAGAGUCUGCAGCAAAAUCAACGGACCCAGCAGACUUCCUGGAAAACGAAGCACCUGGAAUUGUUACCCACUGAACUUGAUCCUGACCCCAAGGCUGAAGAACUGCCUUCAUCCGGUCCACUGAGGGCGUGUGUUCGUUGUGAGUGUCGACGUUCUCAGAGCUGUCUAGUCGAUGACAUUUUCCGGGGAAGUUCAGGUUUGUACUUGAACCCCUUGGGAAGGACACAGGGAAUGUGAGAGGAAGACUGUGAGCCCAGGAACCAGACUGCCCGUGAGGAUGUCAACAAGGAGAAGGCCAUACAGAGCAACUACUGUGGGCUGGUGGGAGGGAGCCAAGUGUGACUGCUACAGGUGGGCCUGGGAAACCAGAGAAGGCUUCCUGGAGGAGGAAAAAAGGAAGAGGUGCAGAGGAGGAGAAGGAAGAGGAAGAAGAUGGCAAAGAGGAGGAGGGCAAAUCCGGGCAGCUUACCUCCUUUUGCAUGAGCUCGGCAUAAACCAUGCAGGCAGCAGAGAUCAGCUCGUCAGCAUCGAGGUCGAUGAGGUUGUUGCAGGCCUGGGAGGGAGACACAUGUGCGCGGUGUGUGUGCAUGCGCAUGUGUGUAAGCAGACAUGUCUCCUGUGCCUUUGGGUACAGGCAGCACAAAGGGCCCUUGGAGGAGUCUCCUAAGAACCAUCAGCAUGGAGCUCCAUACUCCAGCUCCCAUCCCUUGCUCCCCUCUGGAGGCCAAAGCGGCCAUAAACUAGCACACCGUGGACUUUUAUCCUGCUACAAAAUGGGCCCAGGGGUCCAGCUCUAGAGGCUGGAGAGGAAUGCGGCCGAGGGCGCUCACCAGGAGGAUGGCGUCGC